AAAAUAUAAUUUUACUUUUUUUAUUUUAUUUUUGUGUGUUGAAAAUAUUCUUUUUUUGAGUAUAUUAUUUGAAAUAAAUAUUAUUUAGUGAUAAAUUAUUAGUACUGUGAAGGGUUAUUGAAAUAUUUUUAUAAAUUAAUUUUAUAAAAAGUAUAUUUUUUAUAGUACCUUUUGUAUCAGGGUUGAUUUAUUUAAUAAAAUUUAUUUUUGUUUCUCGAUUUUAUAAGAUCUAAUAAAUUAUGUUAUUUAAUGUUUUAUAAUUAUUAAAAAUAAUUUAUUAGUUGAGAAAUUCUAUUCGUUUAUAAUGGUAUCUGGUUUUUUAAGAAAUAAAUUUAAUUUAUUAUUAAAAAUUUAAUUUUCUUACUAGUAAGAAAAUUAUUAUUUAAUAUAAAAAUAGUGGGGGAUAAGCUCCACUUUUUGCUAAAAUUUCAUUCAUUUUUGUUUAUAGUAGGAUUAUAAUCUUCCAUCUUUAUAUUACGUUAUAGUAUAAAACUUGUUUUGUUGAUUUUUUAAUAUUUAGUAUAUUAUUAAAAUUUUUAAUUUAAUGUUUUAUUUGAAUUAAUUAUGAUUAAAUUAGUAUAUAUUUAUAAGUUUGUUUAUUUAUAUUUUGUAUUUAUAUAUAAGGAACUCGGCAAAAUUUAUUGUGUUCGCCUGUUUAUCAAAAACAUGUCCUCUUGUAUUUAUAUGAGGUCUGACCUGCCCAGUGAAUAUUUAACGGCCGCGGUAUUUUGACCGUGCAAAGGUAGCAUAAUCAUUAGCCUUUUAAUAGAAGGCUGGAAUGAAAGGUUCAACGAAUCAUUAGCUGUCUCAUUUAUAUAUUUUAAAAUUUAAUUUUUAAGUUAAAAAGCUUAAAUUAUAUUGUAGGACGAGAAGACCCUAUAGAGCUUUACAUUUUAUUUUGUAAUAUUUUUUUGAUAUAUAAAUUUAUAUUUAAAUUUUAAUGUUUUGUUGGGGUGAUAAAAUUAUAUAAUAAACUUUUUUAUUUUAAAAACAAAUAUUUUUGAUUACUUGAUCCAUUAUUAUUGAUUAAUAGAUUAAGUUACCUUAGGGAUAACAGCGUAAUCUUCUUUUGGAGUUCAAAUUUACAAGAAGGCUUGCGACCUCGAUGUUGGAUUAAGAUAAUAAUUUGGUGUAGUAGUUAAAUUAAUAGGUCUGUUCGACCUUUAAAAUCUUACAUGAUCUGAGUUCAGACCGGCUUGAGCCAGGUCGGUUUCUAUCCUCAAUUUUAUUUUAAUUUCUAGUACGAAAGGACCGUUAUUAAAAAAUAAUUUUUAUUUUUUGAUUAUUAUUAA
rnacentral:rRNA from 1 species